CUUUCCUGCUGCUAGCUGUAUGAGCUGGCAGCCCUUCAGAGAGACAGCCUGCUUUCCAGAGAUCUGUUUUCACAGGAAUUCCUUUGUCUGUCCUCAGCAGACCCCAAAUAUACCAACUCCGUUAAUAGCCCAGAAGAGGAGUCCAGGGACUCACUUGCUUCUGUACUUCACCCUGAUCUGAAAGCAGAAAGGGGAAGCAGGGAGGCAUUGCUUCCAUUUGGGAAAAUCAAAUCUAUAUCCUCUGGAGAUCCUAAUGAAAGGAUUGCUCCUGUGCCCAACAUGUUGUGCUGUGCUUCAUGUGCCAGAGGGACAAUCUGAGUCUGUAAUGUCAGAAGAGUACAUCUGCACAGUAAGAACAGAAUGAAAAUGGUAGAUUCACCAUGCUGAAGGUCAAGGAGACCUUUCUCUUUGCUGUCUGUGUUCAGAAGGACCAGAGGGAUGAAUAACUUCUCAAGGUAGCAGUAAUCUUAUGCUCUCCUUCAUCUAACGUUAUCAAAACCUGUUUAAUCAGGCUGAAGUUACCCUCCUGGCUACCCAGCUUCAGCAAGUGGCGGUUAUGGGUUAGAUGUGAAACUGAGCUUGGACUAUUAACAUCUCCUAAAUGCCUCCCCAAAAUCAAGAAUAUUACCAUCACUUCUUGGCCAUCAUCCUGUCACGGUAAUGACAUUUCAAUUGUUUGAACUCCUCCGUGGGACUGUAGCCAAAUAACAGAUUCCUUGCUGGAAUAAAGCAUUCCACUCAGAAACACAACUGGUUUUGAGUGCUGUCAUGUUUAUGCAGUUCUCUGCCAAAGCAAAGCACACUCUUGUUUUUAUUGGAUUAAUAAAGGAUUGUUCUGGAAAACAAUGCUAUUAUUAUAUGUGACUUUUUGGAAGAGACCCUCUGCAGAUAACCGUAGCGUUGCACAAAGAAAGAUUAACCAGGAAGGUUGUUUUCUUGCUUUUCUGAGCUCUGCUGAGUGCUAGAACGCAAGUCAUAGAGGAGAACCUCCUGCAUCCCACUCACAACUGAGGGCAACCAUUCCUGGCGGUGGGACAGGCCUGCAGGACAUCACAGCUUCACGGCUUUGCCACCAGCGACAAAGGAGAGCUGAGCUGGGAGGAGCAGAUAAAAAUGGGGUCUGCCGCAGUGUGGGAGCUUGCUCCAGCCACAGCGUCCCUCCGUCGGCUCUCUCUGUGGGACCACCACGUCUGUAAGCUCUACGUGCUGUGCGGAGG
ensembl:lncRNA